rnacentral:rRNA from 1 species
CCCGCGACAAGCGGUGGAGCGAUGUGGUUCAAUUCGACGCAACGCGAAGAACCUUACCUGGGCUUGACAUCCGCUGACCGCUACGGAACGUAGUUUUCCCGCAAGGGGACAGCGUGGACAGGUGCUGCAUGGCUGUCGUCAGCUCGUGUCGUGAGAUGUUGGGUUAAGUCCCGGCAACGAGCGCAACCCCUACGUUUAGUUGCUAACGCGUGAAGGCGAGCACUCUAGACGAACUGCCGUUGACAAAACGGAGGAAGUGGGGAUGACGUCAAAUCAUCAUGCCCCUUAUGUUCUGGGCUACACACGUGCUACAAUGGCCGGUACAGACGGACGCAAAGCCGCGAGGUGGAGCAAAUCCUAAAAAGCCGGUCUCAGUUCGGAUUGCAGGCUGCAAUUCGCCUGCAUGAAGUCGGAAUCGCUAGUAAUCGCAGGUCAGCAUACUGCGGUGAAUACGUUCCCGGGCCUU